CUCUUUUGCAUUUUCUUAAAGUCGCCCAGAUAAGUUCGGAAUUACGUAAUUAAACGGCAGCAGCGACAACAACACCUAACAAUUAACAAGCUAACAAUUAAGUAUUUAUUGCUUUCAAUUUGCUGCCCGAUAACAAAAGAAGCCAAAAAAACAAAAAGGAAAAACAGAGAAACUGGAAGAAACAUGCAGAACAAAGUAAAUAAAAACCGACACGGACACACAUACACAUGUACACACACGCAAACCGCUACCUGCGUCGGGCAGCGCAGUUGACGUCGGCAGCGAAAUCAGCGCCUGGCUUCAUUUUCCGUUUGAAUUUGAAGAUGUUUUUAGUGCACUGGCUUUUAGUCCUUAGCACGCGCUUUUAUUGCGCGUCGUCUCAAUAGCAGGUAGGAAUACCAAAAGGCGUCGGUUGGGAGUGUUAACGAAAUCGGAACUUUGCAAUAAAAUUGCAUUUGGAAAAGCAGCGGCGCGCGCACAAUGGGAUAAAUCGGCACCGCGGUUGAUACCCAUUGUUACAUUAUUGUGUUUUCAAAAUCUAGCCAACAAAUGCUUUGCGUUCAAGCCCUCCAUGGAGCAACGUAUAUCAACGGAUUACUUCUGAUGCCGGGGAUUGUCGGGGAUUAUCCAACGUCUUAAAGGCGAAAUCGUGAAAAUCGCAGUAUUUACCUGGCGAACGUGUUAAUCCACAGUUUUGUUCAAGAUCCGAUUCGAUGGCCAAGGCUAAGAUACAUCAGUGGGUGGGUCAACUCCGUGACGUUGGCAAAGUCCUGCGCUGGAACUCUGCCUUAGUAGACAAAGCCAGUUGGGUUCUGUCCAGGAU